CUAGCCCUCUCCACCAAAACUCCAAAACUCAUCUUCGCCGAAACCAACCUUCACCCCUCCAUCCAUCGACCAACUCCCACGUCUCCACCGUCAGCCGGCCGACCACCAUCCCUCAUUCUGUCUUCUCCAAUCAAGCAGAGACCCAACAUCAUCUUCUCGACGCCAACAUAAGUUGUUGUCUUCUUCUCUAUCUUCCUCCUUUCCUACAUCUGGCCAACCACCUCCUCUCUAUCACCGCCGGUGGAGCUACUUACUCUCAUCUCUCCUAUUCAAGUUAGAAGAGGAGAGGCCAUAACUUCCUUUCAGCAGCCACCGCUCUUCCAUCCAUCAUCCGAAAACUUCUACUUAGGUUAGAGGAGGAACUGAAGCCUUCCCCUUUCUCUCUUCGGGUUAGAAGAGAGGAAGCUCCACUCCUACUUCCGGUAAUCCCCUCUUUCACCGACUCUUCUCUUCCUCAUCAAGCUCUGGAUUCAUUUUCACCACAUCACCACCUCUCCUUUUCUGGGUUAGGAAGAGGAAAGCUUUAUACCUACCACCGACAACCCCCAUUCCCUCUCCACUUCCGGUUAGAAGUGGAGAGUUCAUUUCCUCCACUCCGGCAGCCCUUCAUCGUCUCCAAACAGCUUGCUCCACUCUGGCAGCCCUCCAUAUUCCAUCUUCUGGUUAGAAGAGGGGAAGAGGUCACUUCUAGACAACCACUACAUCUGAAGGUCCAUCCGCAACUGAAGCUUCAUUCACGUCAACGAUAUUGGGGACCACUAGGAAAAACACCAAAUUACCCAUUUCAACUGAUGCUCAAUUGAGAACAAUGCGAAAGGGAUCUGACGACCAUCUUGUUCUAAACAUCGAGUCUGGGUCUGAUCAUUCAAUUGCAGCAAAGUCUGAUGCUAAAGAUAUGCAGUGGUAGGUAUUUUGUCCCAGUCUCAAGCCGACAAUUCUUUUUGAGUGUAACUAGUAGAAGUCUAGUGAAAAUACUGAAGAAGUAUGACAAGAGAACAGGAGCACUUAUCAGGCAGCCCUUCAUCGAAAAGGUGCCGCAGCAACCAUUCUUUACAACCUAUACAAUCUCGUGAAGGAGUGUGUGGUUAUGCUCGACCACCUCUUCCCCAGCAACAACCUAUCAAUUUCAGCAGAAUGCGACGGACAAAAUGGAGUGCCAAAGCCGGCAUAAUCAGGUGGGAGGGUUCCGGAGUUGGAGGAGAUUAAAUAUAUGCAGAGCUUAUACAUGAAGAGCACCGUAGCAGCGCUGCGGUCCUUGAAACAGAUUAGGAGCAAAAGUUCAACAGUCAAAACAGAUUAGAAAAUC